AGGGUUCGAUUCUGGCUCAGGAUGAACGCUAGCUACAGGCUUAACACAUGCAAGUCGAGGGGCAGCAUUGGAGUAGCAAUACUCAGAUGGCGACCGGCGCACGGGUGAGUAACACGUAUCCAACCUGCCGCUUACUCGGGGAUAGCCUUUCGAAAGAAAGAUUAAUACCCGAUGGUAUAAAGAGUUCGCAUGUUCUCUUUAUUAAAGAAUUUCGGUAAGCGAUGGGGAUGCGUUCCAUUAGAUAGUUGGCGGGGUAACGGCCCACCAAGUCUACGAUGGAUAGGGGUUCUGAGAGGAAGGUCCCCCACAUUGGAACUGAGACACGGUCCAAACUCCUACGGGAGGCAGCAGUGAGGAAUAUUGGUCAAUGGACGAGAGUCUGAACCAACCAAAAGUAGCGUGAAGGAUGACUGCCCUAUGGGUUGUAAACUUCUUUUAUAAGGGAAUAAAGUGAGGGACGUGUCCCUUUUUGUAUGUACCUUAUGAAUAAGGAUCGGCUAACUCCGUGCCAGCCGCCGC
rnacentral:rRNA from 1 species